CCUCAUUCAAAUAACCUAACCCCUUUGGGGUCAGAGUCUCCUAAAUUCUCUAAAGAUAAGUAUUACAGGAGAGUGCUGGCCUAAUGGAGAGACUCACUGAGUCAGAUACACACACAUGUGUAUUUAGACUGUAUGCACUAUGUAUACAUAUACUUCUUCAAAAUAUAUUCCUAGGGAAUACAACUUGAGAACAUGUAAAAAUGGGCAUGUUCUUUUUUUUUUUUGGUUUGUGUAUUUGAUUGAGCCAAGCCUGGGAGAGAUUGCCUCUAAACUGGAGUAAUAUGGUGUAGUCAUCUUUCCCUUUCUUGUAAGACCCUUUCUCUUUAGACCUUUCUUAUCAGGGUUCUGACUUAGCUUCUGAUGUAACAGACAGAAUUUCUUCUGUCUUCUUCCCACUGCAGUAUAUAUCUGUUUAAUUGUUGAACUGGAUUAUGUCAGAAGUAUUAAUUGGAAAUCAUCAUUCUUCAGAGAACAACGAAAACAAAAAAAUCUCAUGACCAAGGAAGAACAAAACAACUUCUCUGGGUUUCUAGACCUCACCUCUCAGAAUGUUGACAAUGAACUACAACCAAAACACAACCAUGGCAACAAACUAGAUAUUUGUUGAAUCAGGCCAAGACACAGAAAUUUCAUAGUGCAUGCCAGAAUGUAAAGGUGACAUGAGUGAUCAAAAGAGAGGGAAAGUGAAAGGUCAAGGGAGAAACUCUCAGCAUGUAGGCACAGAACCAUCUCCAUGAGGUCAGCUACAUUCCAACGUGGCUGCAGCACUGGAUGUGGAGCUGUCAGGGCCUGCUGCACAGCUCAAGACAGUCUUUGAAGUUGUCCCAGAAGACGUUGACGUCAUCCAGAGACACAGUAGCGCCGUCCCUCUUCAGAGGUUCAAUUCAUUCUACCAUCCGGAAAUUCUGCCGACAAGGCGGCCAGUGUUAGAAAUUAAGCUUGUGACAUGCAGGACAUGGUGGAGUGCAAACAUUGGUCAGCGCUUCCUCUCUCAGCCACAGAGGAAAGCCACACUGAUUGGUAUUCAGGAAAGGGACCUCCUGUUUCGAAGGAUUCCUUCAUGCUGUUCAGCAAUGCUGUUUAGGGUGGAUUUUCCCAUUUGAACGGCAAAGCUUAAACACAAAUAUUAACUACCUGAAGCUGCAAAUAGCAGCAUAGUACAUUAAAAAAAUAAUGAAUAUUUUAACCAGCCUCUACCCAACCAAGAAAAAUAUUAUGCAGAGACAGGCUGAUUUUAGAAAAAUGCCCAAGGAAACAUUAAUAAAAAAGUUGAGUUUCCUUUCA
rnacentral:lncRNA from 13 species